GAAUAUUGCACAAUGGGGGAAACCCUGAUGCAGCCAUGCCGCGUGUGUGAAGAAGGCCUUAGGGUUGUAAAGCACUUUCAGAAGGGAGGAAGGCUUAACGGUUCAUACCCGUUAAGAUUGACGUUCCCCUCAGACGAAGCACCGGCUAACUCCGUGCCAGCCGCCACGGUAAUACGGAGGGUGCAAGCGUUAAUCGGAAUUACUGGGCGUAAAGCGCGCGGAGGCGGUUUGUUAAGCGAGGUGUGAAAUCCCCGGGCUCAACCUGGGAACUGCAUUUCGAACUGGCAAGCUAGAGUGUAGAAGAGGGGUGUGGAAUUUCAGGUGUAGCGGUGAAAUGCGUAGAGAUCUGAAGGAACACCAGUGGCGAAGGCGACACCCUGGUCUAACACUGACGCUGAGGUGCGAAAGCGUGGGUAGCAAACAGG
rnacentral:rRNA from 1 species